UUGGAGGGCAAGUCUGGUGCCAGCAGCCGCGGUAAUUCCAGCUCCAAUAGCGUAUAUUAAAGUUGUUGCAGUUAAAAAGCUCGUAGUUGAAUUUCGGGAUUGGCGUGUCGGUCGUGCCUUACGGGGUAUGAACUGGCGUCGUCGAUUUCUCACCUUCUGGAGAAUCACGAUGCCCUUAAUUGGGUGUCGUGUGGAACCAGGACCUUUACCUUGAAAAAAUUAGAGUGUUUAAAGCAGGCAUUUUGCUCGAAUACAUUAGCAUGGAAUAAUAAAAUAGGACGGCUUGGUUCUAUUUUGUUGGUUUCUAGGAUCACCGUAAUGAUUAAUAGGGAUAGUUGGGGGCAUUAGUAUACAAUUGUCAGAGGUGAAAUUCUUGGAUUUAUUGAAGACUAACUACUGCGAAAGCAUUUGCCAAGGAUGUUUUCAUUAAUCAAGAACGAAAGUUAGGGGAUCGAAGACGAUCAGAUACCGUCGUAGUCUUAACCAUAAACUAUGCCGACUAGGAAUCAGACGAUGUUAAUUUUUUAAUGACUCGUUUGGCACCUUACGGGAAAC
rnacentral:rRNA from 1 species